rnacentral:rRNA from 1 species
UACGAAGGAUGCAAGCGUUAUCCGGAUUCAUUGGGUUUAAAGGGUGCGUAGGCGGACCUGUAAGUCAGUGGUGAAAUCUCUUUGCUUAACAAAGAAACUGCCAUUGAUACUGCAAGUCUAGAGUAUAGAUGACGUUGGCGGAAUAUGACAUGUAGUGGUGAAAUACUUAGAUAUGUCGUAGAACACCGAUUGCGAAGGCAGCUAGCGAGACUAUAACUGACGCUGAGGCACGAAAGUGCGGGGAUCAAACAGG